rnacentral:rRNA from 1 species
GACGAACGCUGGCGGCGUGCCUAAUACAUGCAAGUAGAACGCUGAAGGCGGAGCUUGCUUCUCUGGAUGAGUUGCGAACGGGUGAGUAACGCGUAGGUAACCUGCCUGGUAGCGGGGGAUAACUAUUGGAAACGAUAGCUAAUACCGCAUAAUAGUAGAUGUUGCAUGACAUUUGCUUAAAAGUUGCAAUUGCUUCACUACCAGAUGCACCUGCGUUGUAUUAGCUAGUUGGUGAGGUAACGGCUCACGAAGGCAACGAUACAUCGCAGAACUGAGAGGGGGAGCGGCCACACUGAGAGUGUGACACGGCCCAGACGCACUCGGGAGGGAGCAGUAGGGAAUCGUGGGGAAUGGGCGGAAGACUGACCGAGAAACGCCGAGGGAGGGAAGAAGGUUUUCGGAUCGUAAAGCUCUGUUGUAAGGGUAGAACGAGUGUGAGAGUGGAAAGUUCACAGUGUGACGGUAACUUACCAGAAAGCGACGGCUAACUACGUG